GACGAACGCUGGCGGCGUGCCUAAUACAUGCAAGUCGAGCGAAUGACGAGAAGCUUGCUUCUCUGAUUUAGCGGCGGACGGGUGAGUAACACGUGGGCAACCUGCCCUACAGAUCGGGAUAACUCAGGGAAACCUGGGCUAAUACCGGAUAAUCCUUCGAAUCACAUGUUUUGAAGUUGAAAGGCGCUUCGGCGUCACUGUAGGAUGGGCCCGCGGUGCAUUAGCUAGUUGGUGGGGUAACGGCCUACCAAGGCAACGAUGCAUAGCCGACCUGAGAGGGUGAUCGGCAACAUUGGGACUGAGACACGGCCCAAACUCCUACGGGAGGCAGCAGUAGGGAAUCUUCCACAAUGGACGAAAGUCUGAUGGAGCAACGCCGCGUGAGUGAUGAAGGUUUUCGGAUCGUGAAACUCUGUUGUAAGGGAAGAACAAGUACGUUAGGAAAUGAACGUACCUUGACGGUACCUUAUUAGAAAGCCACGGCUAACUACGUGCCAGCAGCCGCAGUAA
rnacentral:rRNA from 1 species